GAUGAACGCUGGCGGCGUGCCUAAUACAUGCAAGUCGAACGCGAGCACUUGUGCUCGAGUGGCGAACGGGUGAGUAAUACAUAAGUAACCUGCCCUAGACAGGGGGAUAACUAUUGGAACGAUAGCUAAGACCGCAUUAGGUACGGACACUGCAUGGUGACCGUAUUAAAAGUGCCUCAAAGCACUGGUAGAGGAUGGACUUAUGGCGCAUUAGCUGGUUGGUAAGGUAACGGCUUACCAAGGCGACGAUACAUAGCCGACCUGAGAGGGUGAUCGGCCACACUGGGACUGAGACACGGGCCCAG
rnacentral:rRNA from 1 species